UAUGGCUCAGGACGAACGCUGGCGGCGUGCCUAACACAUGCAAGUCGAGCGGGGACAUUGCGACAGAUAUGAAGUUUCGGAUGGAUUUGAAGAUGUAAUGUUCUAGCGGCGGACGGGUGAGUAACGCGUGAGCAACCUGUCCCUUACAGGGGGAUAACACAGCGAAAGUUGUACUAAUACCGCAUAAGACCACAGAGCGACAUCGCUUAGGGGGUCAAAGGAGCAAUCCGGUAAGGGGUGGGCUCGCGUCCGAUUAGAUAGUUGGUGAGGUAACGGCCCACCAAGUCGACGAUCGGUAGCCGACCUGAGAGGGUGAUCGGCCACAUUGGGACUGAGACACGGCCCAAACUCCUACGGGAGGCAGCAGUGGGGAAUAUUGGGCAAUGGGGGAAACCCUGACCCAGCAACGCCGCGUGAGGGAAGAAGGUUUUCGGAUCGUAAACCUCUGUCCUUGGUGAAGAGGAAGAGACGGUAGCCAAGGAGGAAGCCCCGGCUAGCUACGUGCCAGCCGCAGC
rnacentral:rRNA from 1 species